AGAAAUAUUAUGGUUUAGCCUUUUUAAAAAUAAAUAUAAGUACAUAACAGUAUGUAUAUCAUUGUCAGUUUCCUGGUUUUAACCAUGUUUAUUUAAAGUUUUAUCAUUGGGGAAACUGAAUGAAGGGUAUAUGAGAAAUCUCUGUAUUUGUGCAAUUUAAAGUAUUAAGAAGAGAUUGUGAAAGUUCUUUUAGAAUAAUUUUUACUUUACAGUGGAAUAAGAUGCAAAGCCACUAGAGGGUUGGGAUGAGAGAAGGAAGGGUGUUGAAAGUUCGAAGAGAAAGGAGAAGUGGCAGAAUAAUCACUUCAGGGAGUGGGGAAAUAAGUUGACUGUGUAAAUAAAUAUAGGAUUAGACUGGGAGCAUUGGAGGACCAUUUGUAACUUUCAUUCAUGAAUUCAAAGUGAGACCAGUCAACGUGAUUAUGUUUCUUUCUUUAGUCACGUUUUGCUGCAAAAGGUAAGGAUGAAGCAGACAGUUGAUUUUAUUCAGGUUGGGGUUAUAGCAAGUGAAUAUAAACAGGAAGGGCAAGGAAGAGAUCAUCUUAAUGGUUCAUGGAAUUUAAGCUUUGAAAGGAGGAAAGUGUGAGGACUUCAUUGGGGGUGGUGAUGGAGUUAAAAAAAUAGUGGUGGGGUCAGUGGAUUGUAGCUGCUGGUGGAGUUAAGUUGUGUGAGUCAAGUUAUUAGGAGACAUGAGUUAUAAAGUAAGAAAUGAUGGUUAAAUGGGGAAUGCUUGAGGUUGGAGGGUUACAGUUGAAUGUAAUAUGUAACUGUAGGAAUGGGUGUGUGAGAUGUGAUGGAGGACAAGAUUGUUGGAAAUAAGCAAGUCAAGAAACUGAGAGGCUAGUGUGUUGCAUGCCCUUUUUGACUGGAUAUUAAAAUCAGAAAUAAUGGCAGGAAUAGUGGUAAAGAAAGAAAGCAUAAAAGGGUGCCAAAAUCUGUGAGUGAGGGAACUAUGGGAGGUCUUAGGUGAUUGCACAAGGUACAGUAGCAGGGGAUGUGGUCAGUUGGCAGGUGUUUCAGAGGAGCUGGGUGUUUUAGAAAGGCAAAUAAAUAGAAGGAAGUCUAGAAGGAGUGGAGAGCCAGAAUACCUGCCUCUAGGCCCAAUCAUAUGAGAGGUUGAAAGAGAAAAGAGAUACCAUGUCUGUGAGAGGGGAAUAGGGUCCUUAGGAGACAGUCUUGUUUGUUUAGAAAAAAGGGGAAGGAAAAUUGAAAAAAAGUUUAGUAGGAUAUGGACAGUUUUCCAAUUGAUAGAUUGUGAGUGCCAGAGCAAGCAGUGAAAGGGUUUGGUGGAGCAAGGACAGCUGUAAUAUCAUGCCAGAUUUUAGGUCCUAUCCAGUGCCACAUGGAAGUGGGAUUAGGGAUAUCCUUUGAGUUCCAGGGCUUUUUGAUAAAGAGGUGUGUAAGAAGACAUGGUGGAAUAGUCCUGAUGGCCUUUGAGAUAGGUGGAUAAUCUGUUUAAAUUGUGGUCUCCUUCCUGGCACUGCUAUUUUAAAGCAGUUUGUAGUUAUGUAGCUGUAGCAUAUAGAAUUUGAGAGGGUACCCAAGAUGGAGUUCCAUCCUGCUAGGAAUACAAAUUGUUCAGUGGACCUUUAUUAAGUUCUGCAGAGAGGUAAUGUUUUGAGACCAGGAGAGGGCAGUCUUCGACAUGCAUCUCUGUGAGAUGAGAUGUUUUCAGUUAUAUCUUGAUUUGGUCAUUGGGACUGCCACAGAGUGCUUUUGUGUACAUUUGACAUGUCCCCAUUGUUCUUUAAUUAUUCUUUACCUUUGGUACAAUGAAAUGUUCCCAGUUUAUCUUAUGUUUUAUUCAGCCUUGGCAUUAGCCAUUUCUCUUAAGAGCUGUGACUUCUCCCAGUGGAAAAUGGUAUUUAGGAAUCACCUCUGGAUGCAAGGUAUAAUUUUACUGCCAGGGUAUUGUUGCUUUCAGUUUCUCACAACAGACAGAAAUAGGAACUUUGUAUGUAUGUGUACACACAUGCAUACCUGUCAGGUUUUUCAACCUGCAUGGUUGUAUCUAUGUAUGUUGAAAGUCAUGAGGUAUAUACUGUUAGCUCUAAUUCUGUGCAAACACCACAGAGUUUACUCUAGCUUUUCUGCCUUUCCAUUUUAUGUGGCAAAUUACCAAUGAGAAACCUAAUAGCUAUCAUCUUUAAGAUAUUUGCUCAAUAUACCCUGUAUGUAGCCAGUGUUGUGGCUACACUGGCCAAAAUGCUAA